GAUUAGAGUUUGAUCAUGGCUCAGGAUGAACGCUAGCUACAGGCUUAACACAUGCAAGUCGAGGGGCAGCAUGGUCUUAGCUUGCUAAGGCUGAUGGCGACCGGCGCACGGGUGAGUAACACGUAUCCAACCUGCCGUCUACUCCUGGCCAGCCUUCUGAAAGGAAGAUUAAUCCAGGAUGGGAUCAUGAGUUCACAUGUCCGCAUGAUUAAAGGUAUUUUCCGGUAGACGAUGGGGAUGCGUUCCAUUAGAUAGUAGGCGGGGUAACGGCCCACCUAGUCAACGAUGGAUAGGGGUUCUGAGAGGAAGGUCCCCCACAUUGGAACUGAGACACGGUCCAAACUCCUACGGGAGGCAGCAGUGAGGAAUAUUGGUCAAUGGGCGAUGGCCUGAACCAGCCAAGUAGCGUGAAGGAUGACUGCCCUAUGGGUUGUAAACUUCUUUUAUAAAGGAAUAAAGUCGGGUAUGCAUACCCGUUUGCAUGUACUUUAUGAAUAAGGAUCGGCUAACUCCGUGCCAGCAGCCGCGGUAAUACGGAGGAUCCGAGCGUUAUCCGGAUUUAUUGGGUUUAAAGGGAGCGUAGAUGGAUGUUUAAGUCAGUUGUGAAAGUUUGCGGCUCAACCGUAAAAUUGCAGUUGAUACUGGAUGUCUUGAGUGCAGUUGAGGCAGGCGGAAUUCGUGGUGUAGCGGUGAAAUGCUUANAUAUCACGAAGAACUCCGAUUGCGAAGGCAGCCUGCUAAGCUGCAACU
rnacentral:rRNA from 1 species